rnacentral:rRNA from 1 species
ACCCUUUAAUGUUUGAUGUUCUAACGUGGACCCGUGAUCCGGGUUGCGGACAGUGUCUGGUGGGUAGUUUGACUGGGGCGGUCUCCUCCUAAAGAGUAACGGAGGAGCACGAAGGUUGGCUAAUCCUGGUCGGACAUCAGGAGGUUAGUGCAAUGGCAUAAGCCAGCUUGACUGCGAGCGUGACGGCGCGAGCAGGUGCGAAAGCAGGUCAUAGUGAUCCGGUGGUUCUGAAUGGAAGGGCCAUCGCUCAACGGAUAAAAGGUACUCCGGGGAUAACAGGCUGAUACCGCCCAAGAGUUCAUAUCGACGGCGGUGUUUGGCACCUCGAUGUCGGCUCAUCACAUCCUGGGGCUGAAGUAGGUCCCAAGGGUAUGGCUGUUCGCCAUUUAAAGUGGUACGCGAGCUGGGUUUAGAACGUCGUGAGACAGUUCGGUCCCUAUCUGCCGUGGGCGCUGGAGAACUGAGGGGGGCUGCUCCUAGUACGAGAGGACCGGAGUGGACGCAUCACUGGUGUUCGGGUUGUCAUGCCAAUGGCACUGCCCGGUAGCUAAAUGCGGAAGAGAUAAGUGCUGAAAGCAUCUAAGCACGAAACUUGCCCCGAGAUGAGUUCUCCCUGAGACUUAGAGUCUCCUGAAGGAACGUUGAAGGCGACGACGUUGAUAGGCCGGGUGUGUAAGCGCAGCGAUGCGUUGAGCUAACCGGUACUAAUGAACCGUGAGGCUUAACCUUACAACGCCGAAG